AUUUUGUGCGCGUUUUUUCUGUCAAUUAAACACAGGCCUCGACACAGCCGACACACUUCCAGAGGAUGACUGUACCCCACCAAAAACACCAAUACCAGUAAGCACUGGCGUAUGUGUGCGGCAAACAGUCUGGCAAGGCUGCAGUGGGAAAUUCGAUUGGGAUGUUCCCAUAACGUUAAAAGCACUUUUCGUUUCGUCAGCAGAGCCCAAACAGUUUAAAAAUAAAACAAAUGCAGCGUUCAUUGGUAUCAAAAUGCA